rnacentral:pre_miRNA from 1 species
UAUCGCCUCCUUUCAUCCGGUAAUACUUGUCAUCAAAAUAAAUAAAAGGGAAUGUAGAUGUAUUUUAGUUCUAUAUACAUGUCUUUUUAUCCAUUUUGAUGACAAGUAUUUUCGAACGAAGGGAGUACUUG